GAUCUCUUCCAGAUCUCUCCUGGCUUCUAGUUGCCUCUGGCAUUUCUUGGCUUGUGGCUAGCUGUUUUUUCCCUCUCUCUCUUCCUGUGAUGUUCUCCUGUGUCCAUGUUUGUCUCUGUGUUCAAAAUUUGCCCUAUCUAUAAGGACACCAGUCAGAUUGGAUUAGGGUUCAUGCUAAUGACCUCAUUUGGACUUGAUUACCUCUGUAAAUACCUUAUUUCCAAAUACAACAUUCUAAGAUACUAGAGAUUAUGUAUGUUAGGGAACUAACAUAAGCUUUUUGGGGGACAGGAUUCAAAUCUUAAUGCUCACCAACUCCAUUUCCUUUUCAUGGGCACCCGCAGGCCAGAUUUCCUGAUCCCUAUUGCAGUUAGGUCAGGCCAUCUUCUUGGUUCUGGCCAUAUGAAUGUGGUGGGAGUGAUGUGUACUGAGCCUGAUCGUAGACCAUGUUGGAUGUUUUUCUUCAGCUUUGCUGCUCACUCACUGGCUGCCUGAAUGUAGAGGGUGCUGAGGAAGUGCUGGAAGAUCUCAACAACACAAGAUGGAGAAGCCUGAUACCGAAUCACCAGGGAAGAAGGGUGCUAGAGCCAGGAAACUACUCUCUCAGUGAGAAAUAGAGGAAGAAACCACUUGAAUCACAACUGAAAUAUUCAACCCAAUCAAAGCAACCUUCAUGAGCUGACAAGUAGCCACAGCUUUGAGAGUCCGUGCAAAAAAAUGCAAACACAUUGCCUUUCUGUGAUUUGUGACCGAAGAGUCUUGGGGCAUUGCACAAGAUGAAGAAUAAUCCUCCAUCCUGUGAGAUUGGGCCCCUAAGGUAGAAAUACAUUGGCACUUCUAAAUUGCAGCUGAUAGGAAUAUGAAAAUAAGAUAUUAAAUGUCAGCAGGUAGCAGGUCACUUGCAAGGCAGCUGCUGAAGACUUUACUGCUUGUACAUGAACCCUGACUAUUCUUCAGCUCAUAUCAGGACCCUCAAGAACAGUACCUGAGGGUCACCACCUGGCUCUGAGAAUGAAGCAGGUGAACAUUGUGAAACGAAACAGCGAAACCGGUAAUCCCACAAAGGAAAAUCGGCAAAUUCAUAGUCACAGCAAGGGGCUGAACAUCUCCCCCUCAGAAAUCAACCAAGAAACCACUUGGUAAGGAGGAGGGAUAUGGAGGAGUUGUGCAAUGCAGCUAGCAAGCCUGAUUGAAUAGCUCCACAAAGAAGCCUGCACCAUACACACGAAACUAUAUAUCAUUUUCAAGCACACAUAAUGCAGCCACAAAAAUUUACCAUGUGCUAGACCACAGUGGGAAUGUCAGCAAAUUCCAUAAAGGUGAUGUUAUACAGGCUUCAUUUACUUAUGCAUCAACAAUUACAAGAAAUUCUACUACUCAAAAAAAAUUGCAAUAUACAUGGAAAUAAAACACACAAAUACACACAAUUGCAGAUAAUUAUUAGGUUAAAGUGACAAUUGAUAUGAAACAUAAAUUAUUUGGAGCCGAAUAAACAAAGGACUAAAUAGCAAAACUAGUGGGAUAUGACUGAAGAAAAGAUAUGAGAAGUGGAAUGUGAGAAGAAAAGAUAUAAACUUAAACGUGUCUAUAGGGAAAGUGAAAGUGAAAGUCACUCACUCAUGUCCAACUCUUUGUGACUGCACGGACUGUAGUCCAUGGAAUUCUCCAGGCCAGAACACUGGAGUGGGUAGCUGUUCCCUUCUCCAGAUUAGUAAAGAAUAUAGAAAAUAAAUUAUCUUUGCUUUUAAGACUAGAGUCUAGAGGAGCAAAGCAAAGUAAACAUAAAUUAGAAGAAAGAGAUUAAUAUAAAUGAAAGCAUAAACCAUCUAACUAUAAAAAAUUAAAAAUGGAUAAGUAGAAACAAUAACCCAUACUUUGAAAAGAAUAGUAAGUUACUCUAGCAUGUAUGACCAAGGUUUAAAAAAAUGCAAAUCAUCGUUAGAAAUGAAAAAUGAAACAAGGACAACACAGACUGAAACAUUGUAAGAAAACAAUAAACUGCAAAGCAGCACAUUUGUAAAUGCAAAUUAAUGAUAAUUGAUUCCAAAAAAAUAAAUUUCAAAUGUGUAUACUAUAUAAUUUUUUAAAGUUUAUUAUAGUCCAAAAAUACAUUUUAAAUUAAUGGUAAUUAAAAUAUAUUCUCCAAGAGAAUUAAAAAAAAAAAAAGAGGAGAGGAAGGGAACCUAGCCAAAAUGUUCCAGGUGAGUAAAAGUUGAGUGACAAAAGAAGUAUUUUCUUUAGGGCAUGUUUAGACUAUGGUAUUCUGUGCCAGGCAAGUUUUAGGAAGAGAAGGUGGGAAAUGAGAUUCCUGCCAGGGAAGAGGCAAGAGAAGCAGUUCAUUUCAGUUCAGUUCAGUCACUCAGUCAUGUCCAACUCUUUGUGACCACAUGGACUGCAGCCCGCCAGGCUUCCCUGUCCAUCACCAACUCCCAGAGCUUGCUCAAACUCAUGUCCAUCGAGUCGAUGAUGCCAUCCAGCCAUCUCAUCCUCUCUUGUCCCCUUCUCCUCCUGCCUUCAAGUUGUUCCCAGAGAGAAGCAGUGCUUCCAACAGAAAAAAUAAGUAAUAUUAUUUAUUAAUAUUUGUCAAUACUGAAACCUCUAAGUCCUAAAAAGCCAUUCUGUUGUGUGUGUGUGUGUUUUUUUUUUUCUGUUCUGACCCAAAUCUCAGAAUCUAGUCUAUCUUGAGGGUGUUUAUUUUUUUAUUUUUUAUUUUUUGAGUGAGUUUAAUUUUAAAUACUUGGAAGCUCUACCAGACCUCCAAGAGUUCAAGAAAAUAAAAAUAACUACUACCAACACAACACUGUAAAGCAAUUAUCUUCCAAUCAAAAAAUUAAAAAAACACAAUAUCAAAAAAUCAAGUUUGAUAAUUAUGUUAUUCAAACCAUCUAAACUUGUAUUUAUUACGUAUUAACUUAAUUGUCAAAUUCUGAAAGCUAUAGGUCAUAGGACCCAGCUAUUGUUAUGAUAUGGCCAAAUCAUUUCUAUCUUUACCUUAUAUAUUUUCAUGUUUACUUGUUAAUUGACAAACUCAAAAGUGUACAUUAAAAUAUGGUAAUUUGUCAAGCAGAAUAAAACAUAAAUUACAAUAAAAAAGAAUAACUUCUAUUAGUAAUAGUUUCC